UUAGUGGAGAGGGAGACAGGAAAUUAUAAGGAGAAGAGCAGGAAUGUGAUCGGGAAAGAGCCUAGAGUAACCUCUUGUAACCUUGAUUCCCUAUCUGUCAUUCACUCGACGUUGUGUUGAUGUAGUGACACUAGGGGUCACUCUUGGGAGUUCCAAACACCUCUGCUUUUUUUAAAAAAGGCCAGUGAGAAUUGGCAAGUGGAAUUUGAAUGCCACUCCCCCGGAUAUACGGGUAUAAAAGGAGAUGGUAUGCAACCACCCAUUCAGAUUUUCUGUUCGGAGCCGAGCGGUUCUAUUCAUUGAGCUGAAUUCAUCCGCUGAGUUCAUUCACCACUCUCUGCUGGAUCUUAUGGCGCAUUUCAGUGGCUUCUCCCCCUCUGCAUCGGUGGUUUGCAGAGAACGCCCCUGGGCGCUUCGGCAGAACUUUUAAAAGAGUAUAUUCUAAAAGAGUAUAUUUUCUUUCUGAAAGAGCGGCACACACGGAACGUCUUUUUAAAGACGCAUCUUUUUAAAGAUGCCUUUCCGUUUGUGUGUUAUGCCUGGUUGCAGUCGUUAAUGACGGACGUGCUUUCCCGGGCGGCUGCAAGCGUCGGGCUAGAGUGGAACCCUCCACUCUCCCCUGAACCCUCGCGGCUCGGUGAUCAGUUCCUGGGCACGGGGCGCUGCCCACGGCCACGCCCCGCCCCCAUUCCUUUCUUCCCGGAAGUGCAUGAGGAGCUGACAAGAUCGUGGGAGGCACCUUUCACUGCCCCGUUCCGGUAUUUCAGCUCCCCUGCUCUCGCUACCCUCGAUGGCGGAGCGGCCAGGGGGUAUUUGGUCGCAUGGUAGGUCCUACCCAAGGGGGGAGGAGUUUCUACAAGCAUGGCAACUGGAGCAGAGGGCCCUCUGCUCAAGGAAGACGUAGUUUACCAAGAGGGAAACAAUUUUACAGAAGAUAUAACACAUGGGGUUAUCUAUGGGGAAUCACCGCAUGCGGAACACCUACAGGGCCUUACUAGCACACUUACUGAGCCGGCAGUGAGUUUCUCCACAAACUCGACUGCCACAGGGCUAAGGAGGAAGUCAUCCAGGGAUCACAGUCUGUGAACACUACUGGGAGUCAAGAGUGCACGUCUUCCCCUCAAGAGAGGGGAAAAGUGCUAUGCGCAAGCAGUACACCCGGCAAGCUGUCCCAGAACUUACCUGCUUGUUCCUGCCACUACACAGGACGAAACCGACUCAACCCGGAGAUUGUAGAACCUUGCAAAGGUGUUAGGUGUGUAGUUAGUUAGAACUCAUCCUCCAUAGGCAGCAAUAUACAGAGCAUCCUCAACUUAGAAUUAGUAUUGUUUAAAUGAGAUGGCGUUCAUUGGACAAACAUUAACAGAAUGUAUUAUGGUUGUUAAGACAGCACGUCUCGCUCUCAACCUAUGCAAGUUUGAAUGAAAUCUCUGAGAUUAAUUUAAGGAGAGUUGCUGUAUAUCGAUGUAGUGAGAAAAGAUAACUGAAUGUAGCACAUCGUAGUUUGUACUUGUCUACUGAUUUUUUUGUGUAAAUCUGCCUGUUAAAUUUUUAUGUUGUUAACAAAUGUCUAGUGUUAGGUUUAGGGGUAAUUGUGGGAUUAGCAGCUCUAAAAUAUAAACAAGUAGUAUAUUGUAACAAAAUUAUUGUCACUACAUCAAUUUGCCUGUUACGUGUUGUUGAAAAGUGGUUAUGUUUAGGGAUUGGGGUAGGGUUAAGGGAUCCGUAAUAUUUCUAUCCUAAAGUACAAAUAAAUACAUUUAAAUGUUUUGUACGAAUAGCUACAUAUGAGAUCAAGCUGGAAUGAUUAAAUACAUCAACUGUUUAAAACCUUUUUUUCUCCUAACAUGCCACAAACUGUUUUUGAGAGCUGUUUUUAUUUCUGUAUUUCUUUGUAUUCUGUAUUACCUCCCCCCAUCCCCCCUGGAAACUAUGCCCCUGGAUAAAGGAGUUCGAGAUCUAAUACACAAUAUGCGUCAAGAGGAAAUUACAGAAAUGAUUAAGGAGGACCCUACUGCUUGUAAUCACUGCAGUGGGCAGGUAUGAACCAAGUUCAAAUAUUUAUAAAACCCCAUCUCUUGCUCAUAAAAUUGGAUAAUCCUUGAAGAAAGCCUGUCAGCUUAGUUUAGGACAAAACCUCAUGGUGGGAGACAGAGAGACUUCAUCAAUUGGUGCACCCACAUUUACAGUAAGGCCCUCAACACAUUGCAGCAAGCCAAGUGGAACAAGAGGGACACUAUUCCUCUUACAGAAGAUGUACAAAAGCACUUAAAGGGUUUAGAGCAAGAGUGAAAAGAAAAACUGAAAGAGAGUGUGAAUCCUGCUGACUGGAAAGUCUUGGCUGAAACAUUGCUUUGUCAAAUAAUUAUUUUUAACAGAAGAUGUGAGGUUGAAGCAUCUAAAUGGCUCCUCUCAACAUAUGAGAACUGGAAUAUGAGUCCUCUUAAUGAGGAUGUUGUGAAAUGUCUCACUAAAUUAGAACAGCAGCUGUGCAGGCGAGGGAUCAGGCAAGACAAUCCCUAUGACUUUGCUAGAGUGGGGGCAUCAACCCACAUACGUGUUUCAGAUUGCCUGAGGAGAUUUUCAACAACAUGUGGUGCAAGAGAACCCAGAAGCCUGACGUCUACAGAAUGACAGAAGCAAGUGGCAACUCUUUGUCAGAUCAUGAAUUUGAAGGACAAUGAGCUUGAUCAGCUGGCAAAGUUUAUGAGACAUGGCAUCAGAGUGCACCGAGAGUAUUACAGACGGUCAGAAAACACCAUUCAACUGGCAAAAACUGUUAUAGUCAUGAAUUAACUGUGCUUUAUGAACUCCAGAAACACAAUGAGUCUGAAGAGAAACAACACUCAGGAAAAUCUGGCAGGUGCUCCUCUACAUGCACACGUCAAUCAACAGAACCAGAAACAAAGCCAGGACCAUUCCUAAGAGACCAUGGAGUGAUGAGGAACAGUGUACUGUGAAAUGUGGUCUAGGAAAGUUAUUUGCCUUCGGAAAAGUUCCUGGGAAAGCUGAUUGUCAGGCAUGUCUGACUGCAAAUCCAGUCCUCAGAACAAGGUCUUGGCAUGAUAUCAAAUACUUUGUCCACAAUGCAAUGCAAAGCAUUAAAAAGAAACUUAAACUUGCUACAGUUGCAGAGUAGAUAUGGUGGUAUUGGGAGUGCUUACCACAGAUGACAGUACGUUUUAGUUUAGUUGCACCACUUUGUCAUAUCUGUUAACAAGAAUUCAGUGGAUUAAUUUUUGUGAGAAUUUUUUAUUUUUUAUUUUAAACUUUAAUUUUACUUACACAUUCCUUGUGCGUGAGAAGUCAGUAGAUUUGAUGUCUUCUGUGAGAAAUCUGUGUUUUGUAAGAAGUGCACUUUAAAAUGUCUUUGUCAGAAGUUGGUAGGUUUUAUAAUCUUUUGUUUAAAAUCAGUGUACUUCAUAAAAUAUAGACUGAUAGUCUGAUGUCUGCACUUUAUUUUCUAUUGCUUCAUUAGGAAGUCAGUAGAUGCAGUUUUACUUAAGAGAAACUGUAAAAGUAAAAAUGUUUAGGUUAGUCAUAUGUAGUCAUACAUAAGAUCUACUGACUUCUGACAAACAAAUGGUCAAGUCAGAGCAUUUUUAUUUUCUUGUGAAGUUUGAGUUCAGUUACACUAAAGUGC